UGGUGGAGUGAUUUGUCUGGUUAAUUCCGAUAACGAACGAGACCUUAACCUGCUAAAUAGCCCAUUCGGCUUUUGCUGAUUGCUGGCUUCUUAGAGGGACUGUCAGCGUCUAGCUGACGGAAGUUUGAGGCAAUAACA
rnacentral:rRNA from 1 species